AGGGAAUCUUCCGCAAUGGACGAAAGUCUGACGGAGCAACGCCGCGUGAGGGAAGAAGGUCUUCGGAUUGUAAACCUUUGUCCUUGGUGACGAAACAAAUGACGGUAGCCAAGGAGGAAGCUCCGGCUAACUACGUGCCAGCAGCCGCGGUAAUACGUAGGGAGCAAGCGUUGUCCGGAUUUACUGGGUGUAAAGGGUGCGUAGGCGGCUCUGCAAGUCAGGCGUGAAAACUAUGGGCUUAACCCAUAGACUGCGUUUGAAACUGUGGGGCUUGAGUGAAGUAGAGGUAGGCGGAAUUCCCGGUGUAGCGGUGAAAUGCGUAGAGAUCGGGAGGAACACCAGUGGCGAAGGCGGCCUACUGGGCUUUAACUGACGCUGAAGCACGAAAGCAUGGGUAGCAAAC
rnacentral:rRNA from 1 species